rnacentral:rRNA from 1 species
UAGAGUUUGAUCCUGGCUCAGGAUGAACGCUAGCGGCAGGCUUAACACAUGCAAGUCGAGGGGCAGCACGGGUAGCAAUACUUGGUGGCGACCGGCGCAAGGGUGCGUAACGCGUGAGCAACAUGCCCGUAUCAGGGGGAUAAUCCAUGGAAACGUGGUCUAAUACCCCAUAGUAAAUUUUUGGGGCAUCUCAAAGAUUUUAAAGCUUUGGUGGAUACGGAUUGGCUCGCGUGACAUUAGCUAGAUGGUAAGGUAACGGCUUACCAUGGCUACGAUGUCUAGGGGUUCUGAGAGGAAGGUCCCCCACACUGGAACUGAGACACGGUCCAGACUCCUACGGGAGGCAGCAGUGAGGAAUAUUGGACAAUGGAUGGAAAUCUGAUCCAGCCAUGCCGCGUGCAGGAAGACGGCCCUAUGGGUUGUAAACUGCUUUUGUAUGGGAGCAAUAAGAUCUACGUGUAGAUUGAUGAGAGUACCAUACGAAUAAGCACCGGCUAACUCCGUGCCAGCAGCCGCGGUA